rnacentral:rRNA from 1 species
CAGCAGCCGCGGGAAUACGAAGGGGGCUAGCGUUGCUCGGAAUGACUGGGCGUAAAGGGUGCGUAGGCGGCGAUCAAAGUCAGGCGUGAAAUUCCUGGGCUCAACCUGGGGGCUGCGCUUGAUACUUGGUUGCUUGAGUGGGGAAGAGGGUCGUGGAAUUCCCAGUGUAGAGGUGAAAUUCGUAGAUAUUCGGAAGAACACCAGUGGCGAAGGCGGCUCACUGGCUCAUUCUAGACGCAGAGGUGCGAAAGCGUGGGGAGCAAACAGGAUUAGAUACCCCCGUAGUCCCUGUCUCUUAUAA